UCCCUGGUAGUCCAGUGGCUAGGACUCAAUACUCCCAAUGCAGGGAGCCCAGGUUUGAUUCCUGGUCAGGGAA
rnacentral:tRNA from 1 species